CUCAGAACGAACGCNGGCGGCGUGCUUAACACAUGCAAGUCGAGCGCGAAAGGAGGCCUUCGGGUCUUCGAGUAGAGCGGCUGACGGGUGAUUAACACGUGGGUAACCUGCCUCUGGGUGGGGGAUAACCACCGGAAACGGUGGCUAAUACCGCAUAAGACCACGUCUUCGUGGAGAUGGGGUCAAAGGUCCUUCGGGACCGCCGAGAGAGGGGCCCGCGGCCGAUUAGCUGGUUGGCGGGGUAAUGGCCCACCAAGGCGACGAUCGGUAGCUGGUCUGAGAGGAUGAUCAGCCACACUGGUACUGAGACACGGACCAGACUCCUACGGGAGGCAGCAGUGGGGAAUAUUGCGCAAUGGGCGAAAGCCUGACGCAGCAACGCCGCGUGGGUGAUGAAGGCCUUCGGGUCGUAAAGCCCUGUCAGGUGGGAAGAAACCUUCUCGCAAGAGGAGCUGACGGUACCACCGAAGGAAGCACCGGCUAACUCCGUGCCAGCAGCCGCGGUAAUACGGAGGGUGCAAGCGUUGUUCGGAAUUACUGGGCGUAAAGGGCGCGUAGGCGGUCUUACAAGUCCGGUGUGAAAGCCCGGGGCUUAACCCCGGGAGGGCACUGGAUACUGUGAGGCUUGAGUUCGGGAGAGGAGGGCAGAAUUCCCGGUGUAGGGGUGAAAUCCGUAGAUAUCGGGAGGAAAACCAGUGGCGAAGGCGGCCCUCUGGAACAGAACUGACGCUGAGGCGCGAAAGCGUGGGGAGCAAACAGGAUUAGAGACCCUGGUAGUCCACGCUGUAAACGAUGGAUGCUUGGUGUGGGGGUCAAUAAGGAUCUCCGUGCCGAAGCUAACGCUAAGCAUCCCGC
rnacentral:rRNA from 1 species